UCCUUUAUACUCUUCAUUAUACCAAACCUAAAAAAAUAUCCUCUGCCUCUCUCUCUCUCUCUCUCAAUACGAUGGACGACAUCAUCUUCUUGAAGAUCUGAUCAUCUGCCUCUCUCUCUCUCUCUCUCUCUCUCUCUCUCAACACCAUCGCCGACAACCUUCAUCAGUCAUUCAACUGGAGCGACAGUCGACGGAUUAUAAGGCUUUCCACUCUACGGUAUCUUAUGCUCGUAUACUAUGCCCUUGCUUCAUCUGAAUCUUCUUUGCUUUUAAGUUUGAUUCCUCCUGAAUUGACAAAAAAGUUUGAUUUAGGGAUUCAGAUAUACUAUGAUUGUUGUAAUCGUUGGGUACAUACAGAAUGCAAUGAAUCUUCCGGCCUCUUACCCGUCGGGUAUUGGGGUAUACAUGUGGGGAUUUUCAUGCCAAGGACAAAACAACUGAAGAAAGUAGGAUUAGUGUUUGCAUCUUUGAUGAUAUGACAGAGCAGUGUUGUGAAGCUGCUCUAAGGUAUACUAUUUGAGUAGAAUAUUGGACGUUGUAAUAAGAUGUGCAUAUGGUUAUCACUGCAAUUUACUAGAACUGUUAUUUAAAUGUUCUAGACUGCUUCCAUGAGUAUUACAUCAGUUCUCUAUAUGAGAAAGUAUGAGGUUUCCGUUGCUAUUGUUGGUGUUGUAGAUAGCCAGAUAGUGUCACAAAGUUAUGGGAAGCAAGAAAUCUUAAAGCUCCAAUUAUUCAAGCAUGUUCCGAAUAUAAGCUGUCAUGUAAGUGAGUACGUCUUCAGUUUGAAACUUUGCUGAAACUAUUUAUUGGUGCGCAUCACCUAUGAUGUUGGUAAUGUUGUUUUAGGCCUUUGAUUGUAGUGUGUUCUUAAUCAGAUACAAUAGUUUAUUAACUUGCAUUAUGCGAAUACAUCUUUGAAACAAAGCAUCUAAAUCUUUGAAAUAGAGCAUGCUUAGUUUUGUGUCAAAGGUUAGGUUGGGUUGCAUUGAGUUGGGAUUUGCAUGGUUUUUUAUAGAUAAAUUAUUUUCGAAAAUUACUAAAUACGUUUGCUCCUUCCUAAUUUGUUUUUGUUUUUGGCUUUGUAAACUUAAUGACUUCUACGUGUGUUAUAUUAUGUUACGUUGUUUAAAUAUUUGAUCAUUUAUAUUGUGUUACAUUGAAAUACAUUGACAACAGACAGGUAAAAAAGAUAGAGCCGACAAUUUUGACCAGAUUAUUAUAAUGGGUUGACCAUGUAAUGUUCUAUCUCCGACAAAUAAAAAGGAUUACAUUGAAAACUUGCCUCCAAUCAUGCUUUCAGGCAUAAUAUACAUAUAAACAUUUAAUCAACAAAAUUACGAUUUUUGGGUUUUGAUCGUGAUGUAUUUAUUUUUUAUUAUUUUUUUCCUUAAUGAUAUGCCUCAGUUUUGCUAACCCGUUUGUUAUUAACAAUGUUGCCAAGACCCAUGGUCCACAUAGUCCGCACUUCUCUUUGAUAUGCCUCAGUAUUGCUACCCGUUUUAUACAUUUCAAAAAUCAUAAUUUAAUAGGUUGAAACACGAGUCAAAAGGUCACCAAUGUAUGUGUUUUUACAUAGUAUUUAAUUUGAACAUAAGUAAUUGGUUUUGGUUGAAGCCGCGUUUAACGCGGGCAUUAGCCUAGUAGAAAUAAUAAGUUAAAAUCAAUAGAAAUACUUCAUUUAAUAUUUGUAUUUAAUAUUAUUGUAAGGGUAUAUAGAUAAAUUUACAAAUUUAAUUAAUUUAUUGUAGAGUGUUGACCCUUAAAUUAGCUAAGUAAAUUAAACUAAUAAUAACUCAUUUUAAAAUAUACAUUUUUAAAACUAACCUAAAUUGUGGUGAAAGAUAAAUUCCGAUAUCUGUAGGAUGUGUACAUGGCAUAUGUGGAUAAUUUCCAAUGUGUGAGAUAAAUUUCGGUAUGUGUAGGAUAAAUUGUUUAUGACUAAUUGAUUAUAAAUUAUUUAGUGUUUUACUAUUAUGCUCUUUGUUCUUUUUCUUCUCAAAAGAUCCUUCAUUAUACCAAUCUUUAUCUCGAUGUAAGCAUGUUUUAAUACUUUUCAAAUCGGUUCGGUUAAGGCUUAAUUAUGUAAGUUCCUUAACCAUAGCCGAUUAAUCAGUUGUUCAAAUAACCUUACCCAUAACUGUCAAUAUCGGUUAAUUCGGGUUAUCGCCUUAUCGGUUAACUUUCGGUUAACGUUUGCUCACCCUUAUUGAUAGCUAUAGAUCGUGUUUUCUGUAACCGUAGAUGUUCAAUGUUAAAAAACAAAUGAACCAUGUUAAUCUUAACGAUAAUUUGGAGUUGUUUUGACAGCUGGUGAUUGUGUGUUACUGAGGCCUGCUGAUUCAGAUAACCCUCCGUACGUCGCUCGAGUGGAGAAGCUGGAGGCGGAUCAUCAGAAUUAUGUGAAGGUUAAAGUGCGGUGGUAUUACUGGCCGGAGGAAUCGUUGGGAGGCAGGCGGUCGUUUCAUGGUUUUAAGUUACUUAAAAUCUACUCGUGUUUAUGUGAUAAAAACGUUCUUGUCAUUAGGGGUGAGCAGAAAACCGAAAUAACCGAACUGUAACCAAAAUAACCGAAAAAAACAAACCGAAACAAAAACCAACGGUUCGUUUUCGGAUUCUUAAUAACCGAAAAUUUCGGUUCGGUUUUCGGAUAACCAUUUUCAGUAACCGAAAAAACCGAACCGAUAAGUUACAAUACAUAUAUUUUUAUGUUUAAGUUUAAGUUGUUUAAGUGUUUAA